GCCCCAGAUGGCUGUGAAAAAAUAUAGAUAUAGUCAAACCAAAGGCAAUACAAGUUACAGUGCUGAGAUUACAUUUGCAAAGCUUAACUGUCCAGUGAGAUCCAACAGUCUGCCUUUGCGACCCUGGAGCCAGCAUGGUUUGGGGAUGCUGAAGAAGCCACAGGCAGCCGGCCUGGACUGGAAUCACUGAAAAGAUGCCCCAGGAGACCUCAGGGUGUAAAAGAACUGCCCUCCCAAGAGAGGAAGCAAGUUGGAGAUUGCACAGCACCUUCUCUGAACAUUAUACACAGACGUGGCCAGUCUGGACGUACGUGUAUCAUCAGAAAAAAUGGAUGCCAGCUGAACAGCAUUCAAUGUACCAUGCAUUUACUGGUUAAAAGAAGCCAAGAAGGGAAAAAGGAAAAAGAACAGAACGAGUUAACUGGAAAAAAAUAGCUAGCAAGCUCAGUCCGAAGAUAAGAUGCUGGCCCCAUCCAAGGACACUGCCCACAGCUAAGACUUGGCUGACAGCCAAGAAAAGGGGGGCCUGAAUGUGCCCAAGCAACUAUGAGAUCUGCAAAACACUGCCAGGCAUUAAUGAAAUGUGUUAGGUUUCUUUUCUCACAGAUAACAGAAGUGCUACCCAAAGACCCUAGCAGCCCUGCCGUUCAUUGAAACAAGGAGACUGAGUCUAUGUAAACCAACAAAAGACUGCUUUGGCUCCACACUGGAAAGGCCCUUUCCAAGUCCUGUUAACCACCAACACCGCUGUGAAGUGCCAAGGACUACCUGCCUGGACCCAUGCUUCUCACUGUAAAAAGACCCCUCCACCUCGGGAGGACUCUCCGACUGAUGAUAAGCCUAUUUCUCCUUCUAGCUCUGCUGUACCUUCUGGACAGCAGGAAAAAGAAAAAAAGACAAGGUGAAGUGCUAGUAACCUCUUCCUUGUACACUGACAGACCUACUGUGCCUUUGGAUUUUUCUAGAAGAAGCAAAACCAUUACAGGAUGAUGUGCUAGUAACCUCUCCCUUGUAUGAUGCUAAACCACACUGUUUCAGGAAAAGAGAAGAAGGAACACUUGCUUCAUUGAAACCACAAAGUCCAGGGAUUCCUGACUACAAGAGACAUUAAGAACUGACCCUGGUGAAGAAACAAAGAGUUAUACACUGGCAGGAAGAAACUUGUGGGACCCAUGCUUGGGAACGUGGUAUUGAUUGGAUUUUGGGGUUUAUUCUACAGGCUGCUCUCUGUGUUUUGGAUAAAUCCUUCAGCAUGUAUUGCCCUCCCUAAUUGGAUUUUAAAUGAUAAGUACCAAAGACACCUUAUUGCCAUUGCCCCUGCCAUCUCCUCCAUUACACUAUUACCCCUGUAACACAUCCAAAUACAGACAAUGCCAUAUAUUUGAUAAAACCAAUGACUAAGGCCUUCACACUUUAGUGAUUUAUUGAAAUAUUGUUUGAAAAAAAAUAUUUUUAAGGUUCAGGAUAUCCCAUAUAAUGGAAAAGAAUGGAUCAGUGGAGAUAAAAGUAUAUGAUAUCACUACCAGUGAACCCCAAGAAUCUGUAAUUGCAAUUGAUGGGUUCUAUAGCGAAUGUUCCUGGAAUUUGCACUGUGUUAAAUGAGAGAAGCCCUUAUUGUUAUUUGGUCACCCAAUUAGUGAACAAUCAAAUGAAUACCCAGAAUUUGUUUUGCCACUGGAAAUUUUACCUGCAUAGAAAUUAUUCUAGUGACUAAUAAUGUGACCUGUACCUUAUUGCAAUACACCCCUUCUUAUGCCAUUAAUAUCAAUGCCUCCCAGAAGUACAUAAAGGUGUUCAAGCAACAGAUGUGGUAUAGUACUACACCAAAGAGAGAUGUAUUAGGAUAUCAAUGGACUGUGAUUAACACUACAUUAGGGACUGUUAAAUUUUCAUUGCCCUUAUCCAGUUUCCAGAUUACCUCUACAUACCCAAAUUGCUCACAGGGGGCUGCCAUUAGAUUAGCACAACAGAGGGCUUGGGUUAUUUCUUCUAGAAAGAAGAGAGACUUAACCGGAUCCCUAUGGGAUGAGGCCAAUAGUGCAGCAGCAGUUUGGAAUAUUUUUAAGAACCAAGAACAUGAUGAGAAAUUGGGGCAACUAGAGAAGGCCAUUGGCCUUGUUUCUGGAGCACAACUAACCCAGGUACAGGCUGGAGUUGGUGAGUUACAUGUUAUUUCCGCCCUUAGUUCUAUGACCAAGAAGUUGCUGACAGAGAUGGUAUUGAAUAUCACUGAGGCUGGGAAGGCAUUGCAGUGGGAUCUAGCAUGUUCAGGCUUGGCCCACUGCCCUUACAGACACACCAGGAGUACCAUCUGAUCUAUGGCCAUGGAGACACACUUGGAGACUUCUGGGUGGAAGUGCAGAUGUUCUCAGUGCUCCUUCCAAGCAUAUGGACCAGUUUGGGGGGUGUGGACUCCCACAUACCGAAUCCUGCCGGGUCCAGGGGGAGGAUGCAUGUGGGAUUGGGUAAUUCACCGAGACAUCUGGGAAAUUAGACCUCCUGGUAUGCCCAAUCGAUUUUUAAUCAGUGCUCCUGGGAUUACAUCUGACAUUUGGAUGGGGUUAGGGAGUCAAUGGACAUUUUGGCCGUUAGAACCCCCACAGCCUCAGUGUAUCUGUAAACUGAAGCCAGGAGAAGUUGUUACUCUUCAUGACUACAUUUGCUGGGAGUGUAGGGGACAAGGAACUACCCUGACAGGACACUUACUUUUUUCAAGCUAAUGAUAGCUGUGUGUAUGUUAAAGCCACCACAUUGCAAGACAUACAUUUUAAUCUCAUUACCACUGCAGGCAAUCAUAUUAUUUACUGGCCUGCAGAUAGAAUUUUGCAAGUAGUCCUUAGGUUCCAGAUACCCUUUAAUUGGACUAGUUUAGUACCUGAUAGAUUUCAAAAUUUGCUUUCACUGUUACCAGAGGUUCAGAAAAUCUCUGAAGCACAAGGGCAAAUUCACAUGCUUCAAAAUAUGUAUCAAGUUGAAAAGUAUGCCUUUCAGACAGCUUAUAGAGUAUCCACCUUAUGUACUAAGUAUGUUGUAUUGUGUUAUAUGACUAAGAUUGUACAACAAUCCCAUCAUAUUAUGGCUAUGGGAAUGUUAUUGCUUGUGUUGUUGUUAGCUAGUGUAGGAGUAUGUUAUUGUUGUUGUAAAGGACGUAAUAAUAGUAAUACCUUUCAUGUCCAUGCUCAUCAUGCAUUGUCAUUACAUCCAAUCAAAACCCCUAAGGUUGAAGCAUCUGAUGUAGAAUCUGAAUUCCGAGAUUUAAUGCAAAUAGAGAUUUGAAA